GACGUAGGGCGCGAGCGUUGUCCGGAUUUAUUGGGCGUAAAGAGCUCGUAGGCGGCUUGUCGCGUCGAAUGUGAAAUCUCAGGGCUCAACCCUGACAUUGCAUUCGAUACGGGCAGGCUUGAGUUCGGUAGGGGAGACUGGAAUUCCUGGUGUAGCGGUGAAAUGCGCAGAUAUCAGGAGGAACACCGGUGGCGAAAGCAGCUUUCUGGGACGGUACUGACGCUGAGACGCGAAAGCGUGGGGAGCGAACAGG
rnacentral:rRNA from 1 species